rnacentral:rRNA from 1 species
CGAUGAACCUCACUUGUGCGGGGAUUAGUGGCGAACGGGUGAGUAACACGUGAGUAACCUGCCCUUAACUCUGGGAUAAGCCUGGGAAACUGGGUCUAAUACCGGAUAUGACUCCUCAUCGCAUGGUGGGGGGUGGAAAGCUUUUUGUGGUUUUGGAUGGACUCGCGGCCUAUCAGCUUGUUGGUGAGGUAAUGGCUUACCAAGGCGACGACGGGUAGCCGGCCUGAGAGGGUGACCGGCCACACUGGGACUGAGACACGGCCCAGACUCCUACGGGAGGCAGCAGUGGGGAAUAUUGCACAAUGGGCGCAAGCCUGAUGCAGCGACGCCGCGUGAGGGAUGACGGCCUUCGGGUUGUAAACCUCUUUCAGUAGGGAAGAAGCGAAAGUGACGGUACCUGCAGAAGAAGCGCCGGCUAACUACGUGCCAGCAGCCGCGGUAAUACGUAGGGCGCAAGCGUUAUCCGGAAUUAUUGGGCGUAAAGAGCUCGUAGGCGGUUUGUCGCGUCUGCCGUGAAAGUCCGGGGCUCAACUCCGGAUCUGCGGUGGGUACGGGCAGACUAGAGUGAUGUAGGGGAGACUGGAAUUCCUGGUGUAGCGGUGAAAUGCGCAGAUAUCAGGAGGAACACCGAUGGCGAAGGCAGGUCUCUGGGCAUUAACUGACGCUGAGGAGCGAAAGCAUGGGGAGCGAACAGGAUUAGAUACCCUGGUAGUCCAUGCCGUAAACGUUGGGCACUAGGUGU